rnacentral:tRNA from 1 species
AGUUAAUGAGCUUGUUUAAGCAUAUAUUUUGAAAAUAUAAGAAAGAGUUGCUUCUCUAUUAACUU